CAGAUCUACAGGCAGCAAGUAUCUCACUAUAUAUCCAUGGGUGCAUAGUUACUGUAAUAAUAUGUGUUUAGAAGACCAGCUCCAUCCAGUUGAGAUUCCAGAUGUCAAUCCAGCUGAUUUACAACCAUCUGCAGCAUUCUCUAUGGCAGCUGGUGACUUUGUAGAAGUCUAUAAGAUGAAGAUUCCUGGGACUGUGUUGCUACGUGUUAUUUUAUUGACACUGCUCAUAAUGUGCUGGCAUAUAUUGAAACUAUAUAUAAUAUUUUGAAACCUGGUGGUUAUUGGAUAAAUCUAGGACCACUUUUGUAUCACUUUGCUGGUGUGAAGCAUGAAGCAUCUAUAGAGCUGUCUUAUGAUGUCCUGAAAAAAGUUAUAUUGCAAUUUGGAUUUGAAAUCUUAG